rnacentral:rRNA from 1 species
CCUACGGGGGGCAGCAGUGGGGAAUAUUGCUCAAUGGGCGCAAGCCUGACGCAGCGACGCCGCGUGAGGGAUGAAGGUCUUCGGAUCUGAAACCUCUGUCAGCAGGGAAGAACGGUCACUGUGCUAAUCAGCAGUGAAUUGACGGUACCUGCAAAGGAAGCACCGGCUAACUCCGUGCCAACAGCCGCGUUCAUACGGUGGGUGCGAUCGUUAAUCGGAAUUGCUGGGAGUAAAGCGCUCGUCGGCGGUAUUUCAAGUCAAGGGGUAAAUCCCCGCGAUCAACGUGGGAACUGCCUUUGAAACUGGCAAACUGGAGUGGGUGAGAGGAGAGUGGAAUUCCAGGUGUAGGGGUGAAAUCCGUAGAUAUCGAGAGGAACACUCGUGGCGAAGGCGGGUUCCUGGACAUUAACUGACGCUGAGGCACGAAGGCCAGGGGAGCGAAAGGGAUUAGAUACCCGAGUAGUC